CCCUAAUCCCAAAUUCACCAAUCUGUCUUCUCUCGAUUUCGGGAGGCCAUAUAAAAGGCGCCGCCGUCCUUGACCGACCAAAAAGUCACCGCAUAUAAAAAGUAGCUUGAUGCGUAAACGACACCGUAAAUAUAAAACGAGACCGUUUUGAGGUGUAGAAAUGAACGGUGGAGAUGAGAGUGGGACCGCGCGAGGAAUUGAUUAACAGCGACGCGGCAAAGGUGUGGGAGAGAGGAGACAAAGUCAGUCCACUAUAUUCAUUUACUCACUGAAAAGAAAUCGUCUCGUCUAUCCAUUUGAUUGAUCGUCAUUUCUUCAAAAACUCAUAACCAAAAUUCAAUCCAAUUCGCUUUCUCUUCUCAAGAAACCCAAUUCCACAGUCACUUCUUGUUGUGUUUCUUCUUGUUGUUGUGUUUCUAUGAUCGAUGUAUAAAUACUGGUAACAAAUGAUGAAUGGGAGCAGGCCAACUGUGCAUCCUGUGGAGGCUCCGCCGUUGACCGAUGGACCUCUGAAUGGGCCCAGGAUGAGGAUGAAGAACGUCCAAGGCAUGCCUGGAACACACGGUGGCCUCACUCUUCGUCUGCUUCAGUUUGUGUUUGGUCUCGUCUCUCUCUGCGUCAUGGCCACCACCAGCCACUUCCGCACCUUCACAGCGUUUUGCUACCUAGUCAUUGCUGUUAGCCUGCAAAUAUCAUGGAGUUUGUCCUUGGCAAUUGUGGAUGCUUAUGCCCUUUUGGUGAGAAGAAGUCUCAGAAAACGUGCAAUUGUCCGUCUUUUUGCCAUUGGUGAUGGGAUUACAUCCACCCUUAUAUUCGCAGCUGCCAGUGCAUCUGCUGGCAUCACAGUCCUAGUUGGCAAUGAUCUUAAUAGGUGUUCUGUGAACCCCUGCGCUAGGUUUGAAACUGCCACAGCCAUGGCUUUUAUGAGCUGGUUUGCCAUGACACCAUCCUUUCUCAUGAAUUUCUGGGCAUUGGCUUCCCAGUAAGAAUUGGUUAGAUAGAAUCUUCAGUCACGUAGGACUAUACUAUAUUGCACUCUUUUUCUGAAUGGUGUGCAAUGGAGAUGUGAUUGCAACUACUUGGUAGAUGGAUAAAUUUUGUUACAGUUAGGUUAGGGGAGUUUUAAUUUUGAGAUCAUCAAUUGCAGUAUGGUGCUUUAAUUUCAAGAAAUAUGUAGAAUUUGGUCGGUUAGAAAUUAACAUGACUUUUUUUGGUCCAUUUCUCCAUUCUGUGAUACUGGUUUAUGUUUCGUAACUUGAUCAUUAUGACGCUUCACUGCAGUGUUGCUCAAAUGUUUUUGCAUGCAUGAAAAUUUGCAGCACAAGUACCAUGUCACGUUUUUUGAAUGGCAGGGUUAUGGUUAAGGCUUCUUAAAGUUCCCUAGUUGUUUAUUGGAGAACUGAAAUGAGUAAGCUUGGAGCAUUAGGAAAAUAUACAAAUCGUAAUGCUUUUCGCAUAAGCCUUACCAAUCCACUUAGGCUUUGAGAAGCUCAUGCUGUCUGAGCACACUUCACAUGCAAAUGGAUCUAAAGUAGGAAUUCCAGGUACAGUGGGUGGGAGGUUGCAAAAUACCUUCCAGGGUAACUGAAUUGUAUAUAAUUGUACGUUUUAUAAUCUUUCAUAGUCGGUUGUAUUUAAUCGUUUGAAUACUUCAUCAAUAUUUUGAUUUUUAAGGGAAUGCAGAGAUGUAAAUAAUAUUCCAAAUAACCAAUGAUCCUGUUGAUUGUAUAUGUUCCAGAAAUCUAUUUUUGGAGCAUUCUUGACAGCAAUUGAUAUCUGAGACUACAUCUUAAUUUUCAGGAUUUGUUUGUCUUCUAAAAAUUGAUGACUUGGCGUGGAUCUACUAGUGAACAUGAUGUGUUCUCAUAGUGUACUUGGCAGAAAUAAAUGAUCCCAUGAAAUUUUCUGAGAGACUAAUGAUUACCUCGAGGCAGAGCAACCUUCCUUGCAAAAAUAGCAAUUAAUAAAGCAACGUUUGGUCUUUAGCUUCGGUUAGAACUUGUUCUUUUCUUAUUUGCUAUCCAUCACAACUCUGACCAGCCUCUAUCCUGAUAUCUCUAUAGCCAGGAAUUCCCAGUAAGAGAUUCAGCUUUGGCCUUCCAUGAUCUAGUACCAGAUGAAGUUCCACAUGUCCUUUUGUUACUUGUUUAAUAGCAAGAAACCCCACACAAAAUCAUCUAAUUUGAUAAAUGAACAGAAGUGAAUUUCUUCCAAAUUGUAAAUGCAUAUUAUUGAGCAUAGUGCAGCAAAAAACAAUAAAUCCUCCCUCCCCCAUUGUAAAAUACUAAAAAUGGGAUGAGGGAAGAAACAUGAACACAUUCUAGCUAAUACUAUAGCAGCACCAGUCCCUAAACAUCUGGUAAAGGAAAAACUGAUACAUUAUAUGUAAUGUGCAAUAUAUUUUUUUGGGGGGUGGGGGCGGGGGCGCGGCCGGGGGUGGGGUUUGUGGAUGUGUGUGGGUGGUGGUGUGUGGGGUGGGUUGUGUGGGUGAGUAAAAAAAGAAGAUAUCUCGUUCAGAAUGGCCUUUCCCUUGGUUGAACUCAACACAGAUUUUCCUCAUGAGAAUUUUCUAAGGACGUGUUUUCCUCAAGAAACAAGCUAUUAGGGUCAGAAUUACACAAGAAGAUGAAAGUAGAACCUGUUCAACCCACUUAUAUCAUGAGCGACAUUUUAACUUUGCAGCCUCCAGCUUCUUUUUUAAUGCCUCCAUCCGUUCAAUCAAGGCCAUGUUUUCCUGUAAAUGAUGGAAUUUGUAAGAAAAUGACAAUUCAAACUAAAGAUGCUACCUUAAUUGUAUGGAUGAGAAUAGAUUUCUUCAGUCUUCCUCAAUCAUCAAAAGCCAGAAAACAGAAACAAAAGUAUAAUUAAGGCAGUUUUUAUCACACUGCAGAUCCUAGCUAAGAAGUAUCUUAUAAGUGCACAUUAAUUAAAUUUCAUAAGUAGAUAAGAAAACAUGGCAUUACAUUGACUUGAGAAGCAACCUAUGUUAAGUGAUCUUGACCAAGUCAUUUUACUUGGAGUUCAUAUAUUGCAAAAGAGAAUCCAAAAAAUGAUUUAAGGGGAUCUCAAAAAAAAGAAUAUAUAUCAAGGGGAAGAACACAAAAGUAUACAAGAAAUUAAGCUCAGAGAUUUAGUUUUAAAGGCUCACCUUUUGCAGCAUUUCCAGUUGCUGGUUAAUACUAGCAGCAUCCUCCACCUUCUGCUUAAUCACACAUAAAAGUUUGAAGGACAAUGCACAUAUUAGCCUCUCCAUGAUUCACACUCUCAUUUUAAUGGCACUGAUCUGUCUUCUUGUACAACCUCAUCAAACUUGAACAUCCCAGAUACUAUGAGGUAAACAAUCAAAAGACACGAAAAUGCACUGCUCCUCUUUGAGAUGAUACCUAUACAAAAGAAUUCCAUAAAUACCUCUCUCUCAGAAAUUAGCCGCAUUGAUUGGACCAUUAUAUUCAUAAGUAAUCCAACUAUCAAAGAAUUAGCAAACUCUAGAUUAGGUAAAGGUAUUAUUAAUUCUUACUAGAAAUGCAUAUUGAAAAAACAAAGACACUUGCAGGUUAGUUGAGAUAGUAGUAGCUUUGGCUUUGUUUUUCCUUUGCCCCCUACAUACAUGGAAACCACAUGAGGAGUCUGCAUGCAAUUUGACUCAUUGACUUAUUUAGUUUGAUUUCGAACAUAAAGAUGACAACACGGAUCUGUCAUAGGCAUGAAAGAAGCAUACCUAAAUUUGGACCCAAGUGCAACAAUGAAAGGUAAAAUCCCAAUAAAAAUAGUGAAAAGAUUAGGUGAAGCAGCAGCCCCAAAAAAUAAAAUCCCAAUUAUUAUAUAGCUAAAUGAUUCAGAUAAUAGAAACAGCUGAUUGGCAUCACACAUGCCUCUAUCAGUUCCUUAUCACACUUUGCAGCCCUCUCUGCUUCUUCAUCAUAUUUCAUUCUCCACUCAGCAGAUUCAUCCAUUGCUUCCCUGUUGGCAAGAUCGAAUUGUCUUCUCAACAACUCAGUGUCAUCAGAAGAAAUAGCAUAAUCAAUGGACCACAGCCUCAAGUAAACAGCAAUUCCAAGAAACAUAGCUACUACCAAACCCACCAAUAUCUUCUUCCUCUCUCCUCCCAUACUCUCUCAAAUUCACAGACAGAGAUGGGUUUUGGGUUUGGCUUCUCUUUGGAUUUCGAUUUCAAGGGCCUCUCUCUCUCUUUCUCGUUGCUUGCUUGCUACGAGUGACAAAGAUGUCAGAGGCGCUGUUAGUCAGGUUGCUUUGGAUUGGGUGCCCUUGCGUUAAGUUGCUGUUCUUGCAACCACCAAUCACAUCAGACU
rnacentral:misc_RNA from 1 species